GACGAACGCUGGCGGCGUGCUUAACACAUGCAAGUCGAACGGAAAGGCCCUGCUUUUGUGGGGUGCUCGAGUGGCGAACGGGUGAGUAACACGUGAGUAACCUGCCCCUGACUUUGGGAUAACUUCAGGAAACUGGGGCUAAUACCGGAUAGGAGCUCCUGCUGCAUGGUGGGGGUUGGAAAGUUUCGGCGGUUGGGGAUGGACUCGCGGCUUAUCCGCUUGUUGGUGGGGUAGUGGCUUACCAAGGCUUUGACGGGUAGCCGGCCUGGGAGGGUGACCGGCCACAUUGGGACUGAGAUACGGCCCAGACUCCUACGGGAGGCAGCAGUGGGGAAUAUUGCACAAUGGGCGGAAGCCUGAUGCAGCAACGCCGCGUGCGGGAUGACGGCCUUCGGGUGGUAAACCGCUUUCGCCUGUGACGAAGCGUGAGUGACGGUAAUGGGUAAAGAAGCACCGGCUAACUACGUG
rnacentral:rRNA from 1 species